GGACCCAUAGCUCAGUGGUUAGAGCAGUCGGCUCAUAACCGAUUGGUCGCUGGUUCGAGUCCAGCUGGGUCCACCA
rnacentral:tRNA from 1 species